CCGCCCCUUGCAGGGGCUCCGCCAGCCGCCCUCGCCAUUGGCUGCGGCGCGGCCUCGGCCCACCGCGACCAGCGUUCUCCCCUCGCCCGUCUCUGCCUACAUCUUGUUUCAUCCCACAAUGCCGCGAGCAGGCUGCGGAGCGCGUCUGGCUCACGAGGUUUCAUGCUGAUGUGUCCCUGUGGAUGUCAGCGGAGUUACUCCAGGAUGAGAUCAGUUGGGCCUCUUAAGUCCAAUCACUGUGUCUGGCAAGGAUAUAGGGCCAGUGCUUUACUUUGUGUUUGCUUAUCUGGGUGCAUUCGUCGUGCUUUGUGGUUUUAUCAUGGAGCGGUGGUGCCGCAUGUCAUCUUUGAUGUGCACUAAUAAUAGGACUAUGCACUGGCUCAGGGAGAUCAGUAUUGUAUUCCUGGGUCUCCGAAAGAUUCCAGGGCACUUUUUGUACAAGAAGGGAUUUGCUGCAGUAUCUUUGGCCAUAGAAAUCUCCCCGCCUCACGGUGGCGUGCACUAGUCAUCUGUGCUCUUCACCCCAGAAGUUGGUGCAUUUCCAUAGUGCCAUAUGUAUAUAGGAUCUUAUCCUGCAACUGGAUCUACACAAGCAGAUCCCUGCACCCAUAUAAAGCCUCAUAGAGUUCAGGGAUCCAUGCACAUGGAUCUGAUUGGAGGAUUGGGGCCAUAGUUUGUAAAGUAUUCUUGGGAUGAAAGGCAUUACAUAAAGUAAAAAGUGUUUUGCCAGUGUUAAUUAAUUGUAAUGAUACUGCACGCUUCUACAGUGCCUUCAGUCGGAGUGUAUGACAGACACUAAUUAAGUAAGCCUCACAAAAUGCUCCUGUGAGGUAGGUAGGCAGGCAGUAUUACAGUGUCUCUCAUUUACAGAAGAAGAAAUUGAGGCACGGAGAGAGUGAGUGAUUUGUCCAAGAUCACACAGCAUGUUAGCAGCAAAGUCAGGAAUAGAUCCUGUGUCUCUUAAUGCCCAAUCAUGUGACCCUCCUCCUUCCAUUGACAUUAUAUCAAAAGCCACUUGUAAGGACCUCGGAUAGAAAUGUACUAUUGAUUGACACCCUGCAGUGCCUCUGCCACAACAUCUCUAGGGCAGGAACAACACAUAUUCAAAACCCUACCGUACACAAGGACUGCAGAAGAGGCAGGUUUGUCCUUUGUCCAACAGGUAUGGCACUGCGCUAGGUGUCAGGAUUCCAUUUUUGGCUCUGAUGCUGACUUACUGGGUGACCUCGGGCAAGUCACAUCCAUCUCCCUGGGCCUUAGUUUCUCCUAUGUAACCUGAGGAUAACGAUGCCCUCCUUCAUCAAGUGCUUUCAGAACUCAUUUGUCUCGAUGGGACUAAAAGGACUCCUCACCAUAUAAAAACCAGGUGAGGCCUUUGACCAAACUGAGGAGGACUGGCUGUUUCUGGAGGUCUAGAUAUCAGUGGUGGCCAAGAGUGCUUCUCCAACUUCUCCUGACCAUUCCUUGUCUUGUGGAGCUGGUGACAGGUUGGAGGGAAGGUGGGUGUCUCAUGUCUAAUAGUGAACUCCAAUUUGCUCGGUAAACCCCAUUUUGUUUCAGGGGUUCUGCUUUGUAUUGUAAUCUUCAUUAUGCAGUGUGACCUUGAUGUUCUAUUGUAGCCUCUUUUGUGGAUUACAGCAUCUGGAAGCUGGCACAGAACAAUGUAGUGCCAUCAACAUUGCAUAACUCUUCCCUUCUAGAACAAUGGAUUUUCUACCAGAAGGGCUAUUGAUUUUGAAUGAUUCUCUGCACAGAAGCUGAUGGGAUAGGGGCUCGAACCCAGAAUUCCUCCAUCUGAAGCACAUAGGCCACAGGAGGAGAAACACAUGCCAGAAGAUCAAACUAAGAAGGAAGGCAGGAAAGGCUGCAUCACCUCUGGUCGCUGUCCAAACCCAGGACUUAUGGAGGACUGAAAUCAGAUUUGGAGGGCUGCAUUCAGGACUCUUUGCUAUGCAAAGAUCUGUAACUCUCCAGUGUGCUUUGUUAAGAGUAAAGUGUUUGUGGUUAA